GAUGAAUACUUUCAGAGGGAAUGGUAGUCCCAGGAAGUAGGUCUAUGCAAUACUCUGGUGCAGUGUGGUGUGAGAAGGAUAGGUAUCCCUUAUCCAAGGAGCGCCGAGGCUUUCAGAGAGGCAAUGGAAGAGAAAUUAAUGCACUCAAGAACUGAACAUGCUGUUUCUCCACCUGCAGAACGCCAUCACCAGGGUAUUGGAACAAUAUGACAAAUCUGCAGCUUCAGAGGUCUUCAGAAACAAGAUAGGAGGUCUCCCCAUCCUAUAUGUCAACAGUUACAGACUCUCCUGAGAAGCUACCAGAUCAGUGACUCAUUACAGCUAAGGGUCCAAUUCUGCAAGGUUCAGCAUCUCCUGAGAGGAGCAGAGGGCUCUCCAUUCCCAUUGGAAGCAAAGGGAGUUGACAGUGCUUACUAUCAAACUGCACUGAGUCCAUUUUAUUUGUCCUGUGUCUAGGGAUGAAGAAAAAAGCACCAUCUGCUGACACAACUUCUCAUUCAGCUACCAUGUUUUUAUCUUGUUUCCACUAUUGACAAUAUAUUCCAUAGCUAAUAUAGCUGUCCUGGUAUUAAGUCUGUGUAAUACAGCUAGUGUAAUUGUGUCCCACGUUUGGACAUGGAGGUAAGUGUGAAUCGUUUGGCUGGCUAAUAAAAAAUAUAUUAUCCAAGGAGGUGAAUGUUAAAUGCAGUUCUAGUUACAGUUACUGUGACUGGUGAUACAUAUGCCUUAAUAUAUCUAGACGAUGAUUCAAGAUAUCUUUUUUUUUUACAUCAAGAAAAGCUUUAUCUCUUGACAAUUCAUAGCUGUAAACUAGAAACAUGUUGUAAACGGAGAACUUCAAACAGCCCAAUGUCCCUUCCUGUUCCUAUUUCACUCAUUAAUGAUAUAUCAAUAGUGGGAAUGGAUGCAAAAGAACAAAUAUUUCAUCUUCUUCUAUUGCUGAAGAAAGCAACAUGACUGGCUAUCAGCAAUAAACAUAUUAGCUUUAUUAAUUCCCCAAUUUAAGGCUUCUUGAAAUAGCCCUUGCAUAUAAUGCCUUAAGCAUUUCAGAAUAUUUGCACAAUCUCUAAUCAAACAAUAUUAAGAGAACUUCUUUAUUGAGCCUAGAAGCAAAGGUACCAGAAGUAUGUACAGUAAUGUUCUUUAACACUUGCAUAUUUUCAAGGGGCCAUGUUUACUCACACUGAUCAUGGCUUACUCUGCAGGUUGUUCCAUUGAAGUAUGAAUAAGGGUGGUAGAGUUAGUCCCAAGACUCUUUCGGGGAGCUGGAUGUCACAAGGACUGAGGGCCAAUUCUAGUGGUAUUUACAUAUAAAAUGGGUAUUCGGAUGUAGGGGUAUGAAUAUAUUUAUGAGGAAUGCACUUGUAAUGUAGCUACACAACUGAGAGUCUACCCACUGAAAUCCUGCGUGUACAGAUAAAUGCAUGCUCAGCGCUUCACUGGUUCUGUCAGAGACAGAACUUCCACUAGAGAAAUGAGAGAAUAUAGUUAUUGUUACCAUAGAACUGUAACAAUCUCUGAACUCUUAGUUGAUUGUUUUUUUCAUGAAAUUGAGCAAGAGUUUCAGAAUUGGGCCUGUUAAUCUUCCCAACACCCAAUAUAAUGACCCUUUACAAAUACUUUGCUAUACAAUAUAUAAAAUGGAAACCAUUUAAUUUCUUACUGAUCAGCUAGCCACCAUGCUAGUUCCACAUCUAACACACACGUUGAAAUUCAAAAAAACAUAAUAUGUAAAUCUACAACUCUUCUCUGAUUCCUGUGCUUUGCUUGUGCAAGAGUGAGAUGUAUUUUUAAAGAACAAUUCAAAAUAUGUUUCUCUUUUUCACUUGCAUAGCUGCUUUUAUCUAAACAAAGCAAAGACGAGGUGCUUGUCUGUCUGUUGCAUGCAGCAACGAAUUGAUUUGUUAUCCUACUAUCUUCCCCCUGUCCCAUUCUGCUCUUCACAGUGUGUUUAUGUAUGGUUGACUACUGCAUCUGAACCACAACUAACAGGAACUGGGAACAAAAGACUGAUAAAAAUACUACAUAUAUAUAUAUAAAAUAAAAUAAAUGUGCACGAGGAUUUCAUUAUUGGUCCUUUUGGAUAAGGGUUGUACACUGCAACUGUAAGUUAUUGACUUUCAGAGGUUUUUUGUAUUCUGUGUUCAUGUUGGUUACUGUCAGAUGUGCAGCUCAAAUUAUAAACGUACUUGAAAGC